rnacentral:rRNA from 1 species
UACGUAGGUGGCAAGCGUUGUCCGGAUUUACUGGGCGUAAAGGGAGCGUAGGCGGAUUUUUAAGUGAGAUGUGAAAUACCCGGGCUUAACUUGGGUGCUGCAUUUCAAACUGGAAGUCUAGAGUGCAGGAGAGGAGAAUGGAAUUCCUAGUGUAGCGGUGAAAUGCGUAGAGAUUAGGAAGAACACCAGUGGCGAAGGCGAUUCUCUGGACUGUAACUGACACUGAGGCACGAAAGCGUGGGGAGCAAACAGGAUUAGAUACCCGGGUAGU